UCAGGUGAUCCGCCCGCCUCGGCCUCCCAAAGUGCUGGGAUUACAGGCGUGAGCCGCCGUGCCCGGCCUCAGCUAGAUCUUUUCUAUGUGGAGUAUGCAAUAGCUUUUAUUCAGAUUUUUCAUUCCUUGGCUUUCAUUUUCUGAUUUUUCCUAACUGUUGCUAUUUUGUUUUUAUUGAGGAAAUCAGAGAGAAAGCUAUGAGAUAGUCAAAGCCUGCUAAGGGUUUAUUGAGACUAUAAUGAUGUUCAAUAUGAAAUAAGAACCAACUACACUAGAAUUGCAGCAUAAUCAUACCUUAGCGUUACUACAAGAUUAAUUUGGAAUCGAAUUUAUCUUGUAGUAAUGAAUUUUCUUUUUUAAAGCUUUUUAGAGCAAAACCUAAUCAAUAGCAUAAGGGACCAAACCUAUGUCAAUCCUAUAGCAUAAGUGGCAUAUAAGGAAUAUCCUGUGCAUUUCUCUACAGAAAGGGAAAGGAAGCAGAACUGACUUUGUGCCUACCAGGUGCUGGGUCCUAGGUGUUGGGUCUUACUCUGACCUUUACAAGUAUUACCCUCAAGUUUUCCAACAAGUGGUCAUCAUUACCUUUUUAUAAGUGGGAAAAAUAGGUUUAAAGUAAAUGGCUACCCAGAGUCACACAGUAAAUAGCAAGCAAUCCAUGGAUCUAAACUAAUUUAUUUCUGCCUCCAGUGCUCUCAGUUAUGCUGUGGUGUUUUCUGGAUGAAGUACUAAGAUUUAAAUAUAUUCUUAGAAGUUUUGUGUUGAACCUUAAGUUGCUCUUGGACUUGUUAAACUUGUACCAUCUGAAAUGAACACCUGUAUCCAUUCUCUUUCAGGUUUUGCUGUUACUGCUCAAUGUAAUCACACCUCGAAGAAGAAAUGGAAAACCUUGGGAUGUUGAUAAAGCUAAUAUCCUGCAGAAGAACUGCAGCGGGUCCCAGCUGAGUGGGAGAUGGGAUUCAGCAGUACUGGUACAUAGUGAGGCAAUAAUCCUCCUCAGGCAUCACAUUCGCUGAUUUUUAUUGGCGCUGGGAAUCCUGGGAGAAAGUCGGGAACUUUGUCACUCUUGGCUUUGACUACUGACAGGCCUGAUGUGCUGGAGUGGCCGAGGCAGAGGCCCACUUUCAGAGACUAUGGGAGCCUCAAGAGAAAAUCUGCCAUAAGAGAAGGACCAGUCUGACAGCAAGCCCAGCUUCUGAGACAAGCUGCUGUCCAACUUAAAGUGAACACUGAGCUCUGCUAAGUGAUGGAUGCUACUGAAUAGCAGAGAACCGAAGAUGAACAAGAUAACCUCUGCCCUUAAGAAGGUCACAGUGUGAGGAGGGAGGCAGAAUGGUGCCUAACUAUAAAUGCAGUGUGGUAGAUUUCACUGCGGACACAGCUGGAGGAGAUCGGGGAAAGCUUCGUGGAGGAGGUGCUGUCAAGUUGACUCAUGAAGGGGUUGAAGAAGCAGGCUCAGAAAGGACCAAGGUUUGGAGCUACCACUGGUGGAGCUAAGAUUCAGACCUGGUUCUUCCUGGUUUCACAUCUCAUGCUUUAACCAUGUGCUGGGCAGACAAGAAAGGAAAUCAGAGCAGAAGAAAUAAUCCAUCUCAAAAAUGGAAACUUCAUGGUGUGUAUUCAGGGAACCGCAGGAAGUCCAGGGAAGAGAUGAGGCAGGAGUCUACCUCACUCAGAAGUUGUUUUCGCAACGCUGUCUGGAGUCACAGCCUCAGUGAUCUUCCUUAUUGAUGAAAUACCACUGGAAACUUGAGUGCAGACACAUUUUGGCCCAGCCUUCUUCUGAGUGCACAGUGCCCACCAGGAACAAAGUGUCCAGGCAACACCCAGCCAGGAGCCUCCACUUCGCAAUGGAAGCCAGCACAAAGCUUGCCGUCAGUGAGGUUCCUGGAGGAACCAGGAAACAGGGCAGAGGUAAGAGAAAGCGCCCCAGCGACUCACUGUCCUCGUCCUCCCCUUCUAUGUCAGUAUGGUCCCUGCUUCUGGUUUGGGAAGGGUGGGGAAGAACACGUUUGCUCCAAACCACACCCCAUCUCGGGCCAAGCAGGGCCAUGGCAGUACUGCAGUGGGGAAGGAAUGAACACUCUUCAGGGUGGUCUCUUUAUCUGCUCAUGCAGGGGUCCAUCCAGAUCACUUAAGAGUGGAGAACAGGAGCAAGAAUAGAAGUGGCAAGAGAGGGUGCUUUGAGGUCAUGUGACCCUGAGUCUUAUCUCCUUUCUGUGCCUAUGGGCUAUCUGGCCUAGGGCAAAAGUCACUUCACCCCGUGAGCUUCAGUUUCUUCCUCUCUGAGAAAGACGUCAGAUGUCAGUGCACAGAGAGGCCAUGGGGAUGGAUGUGCCCAGCAGGAUGCCCAGCAUCUAGUAGGUGCCUAAUAGAUAGGGCUACCUCAUUGUGGUUAUCCUCCAAGUGACUAUUAUGUUUUUGAUCUGCUUAAUUUGGCACUGGAUUUGGUGAUGUGUGAACUCGUAUUUCCUUGCCCACAGUUCACAGUAGUGUAAGGAUUAUGUGCUCGGGCUCUGGAGUUUGACCAGACCUCGCCUCAGAUCCUGGCUCCAAUAGUUUCCUAACUCUUUGACUUUGAAUAAGUCACUUCCCUAAUUGGUCUCUGUGGGAGUAAUAAUAGUACUUACCUUAUAGAGGUGUUGUUAGAAGAAAAUAAGACACUGUGUGGCUACUGUUUGGCAUACGGAAAACAUUCAAAUAUUGUGGUAUACAUUACCCUUGUAAUAUAAUAGGUUUGUUUUCUUUUUUCCUUUUUUCUUCCCCCCCCCCCCCCAUUUUUUUUUCUCUCCUUCUCUGUCUCCUGCCUUCCUUUCACCCUCCAAAAGAAGUCUAACAGAGUUGGCAGCAAAAUUUAAA